rnacentral:lncRNA from 1 species
GGAAACAGCUGCAAUAUGAUUUUAAUAUUUGCAAUAUAUUAGUGUUCUGACAAUGGGAAAGUACCUAACCGCAUGUCUGCAUUACACCUAUGACCCAGACUGUCAGAAUUGCAAACCUUAUAUGAAGACUCUGCUUUCACUGUUUAUGUAUACACCCCUAGACAACUGCUAUGCUAUACAUAUACAAUAAAUCUUCAAAAGCUUAUUAAUAUAUCUGUGUGGUACACAAAGAGGGGGUGUGAGUUAGGUAAUCUCGACCUGCAUGUGGAAUAUGCUUCCUCCUUGUUCACUUUUGGGCAAACUGUUGGUCUGUGACUGGCCCGCUUUGACCCCAACUGAAUUUCUUGGGAAGAUUCAUGAGAAAGAUACAGCAGGUUGUUUUGAUAUAAAGAAAGAGGGAAAAGUAUGUUGUAUCGGUCACAAAGGAUUGUGAUCUUAAGCAGGCGAGACACGGACAUUUGGGAGGUGAUAGGAGAUUGAAUCAGAAAAGUUUUAGAGGCAGAGGUAGAGGAUUUGAUCAAAGGGUCUAACUUUUGUAGAGGUGGUAACUUCAGCAGUGUUUUAAUUGUGGAUAGCAGGGGUUCACCCCAAGGUGCUCAUGGUGAACCCGGUUCUCCCGGUCAAGCUGGCCCCACUGGUACUCCUAGUAUUGCUGGUGCCCCUGGCUUCCCUGGUGCCUGUGGUGCUCCUGGACCUCAAGGCCCCGGAGGUUCCCCUGGACCUAAGGGUAACAAUGGUGAACCUGGUGCUCAAGGAAACAAAGGAGAACCCGGUGCUACGGGAGAUCCUGGCCCAGCUGGUGUUCAAGGACCCACCCUGACAGUUCCUCAAUACCAACCACAGCUUCCAAACUAUACCCACACCCAACAACCCCAGCCUAACUGAAUACACAGAUGGUUCAUGUUUUUAAUACUUUAUAGUUUUGAGUGAUAAAACAGUAUUAAUGCUGGCUCUUAGAGGAUGUACAAGCUGAAGUUGGGACAUAGACAUUGUUUGCAUAGGCUGCGCAAUGUGAAAUAGCUAAAAUAAAAUAGGAUAAUAAUAAGUAUGCUUAGUCAAUUUGUAACGUGGUAUCAUAGAGGCAUCUACAAUAAAACACGUGGGUUUCCAGGACCUGACAAGUGAGGGCAACUUAAUCUAACAUAUGUCUACAGUUUGCUGUCCCUUCCUUAUCAGAGGUCACUUGCAACCUUAACACAGCAAGACAACUCUUCCGAAACCUGUAUUAAACAAAGCACUUUAAAACAAUAGUAAUUCAUUUUGUUUCUCCUAUUUCAUUCCUAGUUGUUCUGAAAAAAAAAAGAUUGUUUAAGUGAGAUAACUGUACAGUAUUAAAACAUGAUCACACACAUACAGAACUGGUGGUAUUUUGGACAUCGUGAUCUAUAAAAGGUUUCGGUUUCCAAAGAUGUUAUCGGGGUCCACAAAAUUUCUGACAGACUUCAGCAUUCCAAUUUUAUUAAAGUAAUUAAUUGAGAUUAUCAAAUCAAGGUUUAAGUUUAAGAACAGCAUUUUAUUGGGAAUUAUUCCAAUAUGUAUAUGUUAGUGUUUUAGUACUCAAUAAGUAUUUAUAUAGAAUGAGUGCUUCUCUCAUCCAUACAAAGGCAUUCUAAAGGGAAAUUAUGUAUUAAAAUUGUAUAAAGGACAAAUUCAAGGAAUUAUAAGCAAAACUGAGAGAAGUACAUGUUACACUAGUUAAGAGUUUAACUUUAGUCUCUAAUUUAAAUUUAGCCUAGAUAAUUAAUUUAUUGAUGUCGUACUGAUCCUUGUGUUUGUAUGAUUAUGGAGACCGUACUGGAGUAUUUGUGCCGUCUGAUAUUUGGGACUACACACCAAUCUCUCUGGCUGACCUACCUGCCUACCUACCUUUUUCACAAUUAAAUCUGUUUGGUCAAAAUCCAUGCUGGCCGAAGAAACUGAGAUGCUUACUUAUGAGGACAUAAACUAACUUGGUAAGUCCUGAAGGUGUAGUGCUGAAUAAUGCCGCUAUUUCUGUAUUACCCUUUCAACAAUUGGGGUGUUGCACAGAGUAUUGUGGUGAACAUCCAGCAAACAGAAGAAUUAAGAACUAUGUCUUGUUGUCAGCCAUAUUGCUACCCUUAGCUAUGUUAUGGUGUCUAAGAUUAUGGAGCAAAGUUUAUGGUGUCUAAGAUUCUUUAUACUCCUUGAAAGACUUAUUCAAUUUUUAUGGACUAUGCUGGACUAUUGAACUAUUUUGUAAUUUUUAUUUUUGUAGAGUUAGCCAGAGAGAGAGGAAGUGUUAGCUUACUCAGGCAUGGAUGUGCUAUAUGUGUCAUUGAUGUAUGUUGAGUGUACCAAGGAUGGAUUCCCAUGUAUUAAGUGUGGAUAUGACUGGACCGUCGAAAUAGAGAUGUGAUUAGGAGACAAAGGAUGCAAGGUCAUGAUUGGGAUUAUUGUUAGAAUUGCAAACUGAUUAGAAAUUAUCUCAUGAUUUAAUAUGUAAGUGGGCCUUUUCAAACUAAUCAAGAAGUGUUUCCCAAUCCCGAUACCCGAGCUAUUUACUUACAAAUGCGGGUUUUAUAAGUCACUAAUGCUGUCAACGUGAGGGGAUGACAUGUCUACACAGUCAUGGCCCUCACUUAGCGUUUCCCCAGAUGUGCUUUUUUCCUCAAAUAUGAGUUUUUGCCACUCGGUUUUUUGACCUGGCCCAAGUUCACUGGGUGGACUGGUAAUCCAAGACCCUGGUCCAAAGAGGGGGAAUAGAUAUUAUUCCCAUUUUGACUAUAUGUGUUUACGUUGUGAAUUAUAAUAAUAAUAUUCCCGUUGUUGGGAAUAAUACACUUUGCCUGUAUUGACCCAAGGCUCAAGCUACAGAUAACAUGAUGGUCAGUCUGUUUAAAAAUGGUUAACAUGUCAGCUUUUUGAAAUAUUUAACUUGUACGCUUAAAAGAUGUAUUCAACAGAUAAUUGAAAACGCUGAAAAUUGACAGCUCGAACUCCUCUUAAAGGGAAAACCUAAGGCACAGAGCAAAUGGGGGAAAUUGAGGUGAAGAAAUAAUGAACGUCCCGCAGACGUGAUUGGCACGUCUGAAUAUACCUCCUUUCGUUUCUCUGCCGCAGGCCUCCCAUGGAUAUUUUCCGUAAGGUAGAUCAUGAUAUGAUCUAAGAGGGGAAUUGUAGAUACGAAUAUCCAUUUUGCUAUCUAUCCUAGCUGUUCAUAUAAGGGUUAAUUUGAACCAAGAAUAAAUUUGGAAUUGUAUCUCCGAUUCUUGGAAAUAAAAUUUAUCUGAAAUCCUAUUUACGGGAAAAGUACUGAUUUCGAAAUGUUCUUGUUAUUUGUCCAAGAUUUCGGUAUUUGUAAACAUCUGGUUUUUAUCAAAUAUGCAUGCGUUAUAUAACGUAGAAUUAUAAUGAGAAACAGCUGCUCAUAACUUGUGAAAAACAAUCUAUGUCAUUGUCAUCAUUGUCACGCCCAUAUGCUCAUUUUCCCCCCUCCCAUCCUGCUAUGAAAACGGGUUAUAAAUAUAACUGACGUAUGAAUAAAAUUUGAAUUGGUUAUUGAACACGUCUCUGCUAUUCAUUUCCAAUUUCCAGAGCUCUGAAUGAGUUGGCAAAUAUCCA